rnacentral:rRNA from 1 species
UACGAAGGGGGCUAGCGUUGCUCGGAAUCACUGGGCGUAAAGGGUGCGUAGGCGGGUCUUUAAGUCAGGGGUGAAAUCCUGGAGCUCAACUCUAGAACUGCCUUUGAUACUGAGGAUCUUGAGUUCGGGAGAGGUGAGUGGAACUGCGAGUGUAGAGGUGAAAUUCGUAGAUAUUCGCAAGAACACCAGUGGCGAAGGCGGCUCACUGGCCCGAUACUGACGCUGAUGCACGAAAGCGUGGGGAGCAAACAGG